rnacentral:rRNA from 1 species
GACGAACGCUGGCGGCGUGCUUAACACAUGCAAGUCGAACGGAAAGGCCCUGCUUUUGUGGGGUGCUCGAGUGGCGAACGGGUGAGUAACACGUGAGUAACCUGCCCUUGACUUUGGGAUAACUUCAGGAAACUGGGGCUAAUACCGGAUAGGAGCUCCUGCUGCAUGGUGGGGGUUGGAAAGUUUCGGCGGUUGGGGAUGGACUCGCGGCUUAUCAGCUUGUUGGUGGGGUAGUGGCUUACCAAGGCUUUGACGGGUAGCCGGCCUGAGAGGGUGACCGGCCACAUUGGGACUGAGAUACGGCCCAGACUCCUACGGGAGGCAGCAGUGGGGAAUAUUGCACAAUGGGCGGAAGCCUGAUGCAGCAACGCCGCGUGCGGGAUGACGGCCUUUGGGUUGCAAACCGCUUUCGCCUGUGACGAAGCGUGAGUGACGGUAAUGGGUAAAGAAGCACCGGCUAACUACGUG